rnacentral:tRNA from 1 species
GAAUGACUUUGACUUGNGCUCGCGCGCCGCAUCGCAGCCCCUGUUGAUUACGAUGGGCGGCUGCUGGCGCUCCGCGAGGGCGCGGCACAAGCCGCGACGGCCCUCUCUUUUAGCCAAGGGUGGCGGCCUUGCGAGGCUUGCGUCUCGUUGGCGAAAGCCGAUUUAAGGCGCAGUCUUAGGGCUUGUAGCUCAGUUGGUUAGAGCGCGCGCUUGAUAAGCGUGAGGUCGGAGGUUCAAGUCCUCCCAGGCCCACCACUUCGCAAUCCGCAAGGAUUGUCGGAUCUCCUCGAUAUCCGUCGGGAAACACUAUCAGGGGCCGUAGCUCAGCUGGGAGAGCGCCUGCUUUGCAAGCAGGAUGUCGUCGGUUCGAUCCCGUCCGGCUCCACCAACCAUCUUCUGUGAAGGUGGGGCGUGUCGAGUAGAGGAUGAUCGCCCGCGGUCAGUCAUUCGAAAAAGAGUUUGCGGCGCGCUUCGUGCUCUCCGCCUGUUCUGUUUGACAUCGUAAAGAGAAGAUUUGUUCGAACUUCACGGCUGCAAGGCUGUGAUUUGUCGCAAGGACGCUCAAUCCCUUGCCUAUGAUGGGUUUGCCUAACCGCGCCCUCGAACGGAUCUCGAGAAGCUGGUCUUUUU